GUCCAGGCUGUACUUUAUUUUACACAAGUGGUGGCCCCAGAACCACAGGGACAUGACCUGGAGAGUAGGCACAGUGCCUGAGGCUGCAAGAGCCAAAUACAGGGAUUCAUGCCUUCUCCUUGGUCCCCAUGACCAAAUUAAAAAAAAAAAAACAACAAAUCACACAGCACACAUCGCCACACCCAUCCCCUCCUUCCUUUCAGCAACAGCCAAUUCAGCUUUCUAGCCAAAGACAGUGGCUACAACUGAAUUUACAGAGAACCAUGCAGCCAAGAAACCAGAGCCACGGAGGGGAGAGGCUUGCGUUGACUUCCCACAUGUGCUGUCCCAUAGCAGCUGAGUGACCCCACCAAGCCACCGUGUGGUUGGACACUGACAGGACAGGCGAUAAGACAAGCUAUGCAGGUGAAACUCCAAGGCAACUCCUUCAUGGUGUUGGCCAAACCCGUGCAAGGGUGACCUGUGGGGAGCCUGUCUGGACUCAGCUGUUAGAUCCAAAGCAGGAGCCAGGCGUGAGGUGAUCUUGUCGUACACCUCAGGGAAGGCGUCCUGGCAGCCCAGCUGCUUGCGCAGCUUGUGGUACAAGGAGCCAUCGAACAUCUCCCAGAAUUCCUCGCGGUUCAUAUAGCAAUCGGCGUAUAACAUUUGGAACCUGCAUGGGAGGGAAGGAGUGCGGCGGCGGUGAGGAUGGACAAGGAGAGACAAACAGAUACUGUGACCAGUAACACAGUAAGGUGACUACCAUUCCAGCUUUCAAGAGUGAGUCGAGCCGGGCGUGGUGGCGCACGCCUUUAAUCCCAGCACUUGGGAGGCAGAGGCAGGCG
rnacentral:lncRNA from 1 species